rnacentral:lncRNA from 1 species
CCAUUUUGGGUGUUUCAGUGGUGGUCUCAGCAGACCCUUAUGAGCACAAGUCUUCUCCACCACCACCAUAUGAGUACAAGUCUCCACCACCACCCUCACCUUCACCUCCACCAUAUGAAUAUAAGUCUCCUCCCCCACCACCAUAUGAGUACAAGUCUCCACCACCACCCUCUCCUUCACCACCACCAUAUGAGUACAAGUCUCCUCCCCCACCACCAUAUGAGUACAAGUCUCCACCACCACCCUCACCUUCACCUGCACCGUAUGAAUACAAGUCUCCUCCCCCACCACCAUAUGAAUAUAAAUCUCCUCCCCCACCACCAUAUGAGUACAAGUCUCCACCACCACCCUCUCCUUCACCUGCACCAUAUGAAUACAAGUCUCCUCCACCACCACCAUAUGAAUAUAAGUCUCCUCCCCCACCACCAUAUGAGUACAAGUCUCCACCACCACCCUCUCCUUCACCUCCACCAUAUGAGUACAAGUCUCCUCCCCCACCACCAUAUGAGUACAAGUCUCCACCACCACCCUCACCUUCACCUGCACCGUAUGAAUACAAGUCUCCUCCCCCACCACCAUAUGAAUAUAAGUCUCCUCCACCACCCUCUCCUUCACCUGCACCAUAUGAAUACAAGUCUCCUCCACCACCACCAUAUGAAUAUAAGUCUCCUCCUCCACCUUCACCCUCUCCACCACCACCAUAUGAGUACAAGUCUCCACCACCACCCUCUCCUUCACCUGCACCAUAUAAAUACAAGUCUCCUCCACCACCACCAUAUGAAUAUAAGUCUCCUCCUCCACCUUCACCUUCACCUGCACCAUAUAAAUACAAGUCUCCUCCACCACCACCAUAUGAAUAUAAGUCUC